rnacentral:rRNA from 1 species
AUUGAACGCUGGCGGCAGGCCUAACACAUGCAAGUCGAGCGAGCGGCGGACGGGUGAGAAAUGUCUGGGAAACUGCCUGAUGGGGGGGGAUAACUACUGGAAACGGUAGCUAAUACCGCAUACCAUCAGAUGUGCCCAGAUGGGAUUAGCGAGUGGGGGGGGGAAUGGCUCACCUAGGCGACGAUCCCUAGAUGUUCUGUGAGGAUGACCAGCCACACGGGAACUGAGACACGGUCCAGACUCCUACGGGAGGCAGCAGUGGGGAAUAUUGCACAAUGGGCGCAAGCCUGAUGCAGCCAUGCCGCGUGUGUGAAGAAGGCCUUCGGGUUGUAAAGCACUGUCAGCGGGGAGGCGUUACUCGCAGAAGAAGCACCGGCUAACUCCGUGCCAGCAGCCGCGGUAAUUC